GUAGGUGGCAAGCGUUGUCCGGAAUUAUUGGGCGUAAAGCGCGCGCAGGCGGUCCUUUAAGUCUGAUGUGAAAGCCCACGGCUCAACCGUGGAGGGUCAUUGGAAACUGGAGGACUUGAGUACAGAAGAGGAAAGCGGAAUUCCAAGUGUAGCGGUGAAAUGCGUAGAGAUUUGGAGGAACACCAGUGGCGAAGGCGGCUUUCUGGUCUGUAACUGACGCUGAGGCGCGAAAGCGUGGGGAGCAAACAGGGAUUAGAUACCCUGGUAGUCCACGCCGUAAACGAUGAGUGCUAAGUGUUAGGGGGGUUUCCGCCCCCUUAGUGCUGCAGCUAACGCAUUAAGCACUCCGCCUGGGGAUACGGCCGCAAGGCUG
rnacentral:rRNA from 1 species